rnacentral:lncRNA from 1 species
AAGCUGUCAAAAUUUUAGGACAAAGGGCACAGGGUUAUGGUGAGAGCCCCCUGAUCUCUCAAUCUUUCUAAUAUUUUACAGACAUUUAGUCAAUAGGUAGAUACAAACGUGACUAAAAGGAAUUUGUGUACACUUCAUGUCUUCUAUGUUUACGGUACGCCAAAAGUGCCAGUUGGAUAUUCAAAUUUUAUAUCAAAAAUCGACCCGAGACCGCUUAAAUGAGGUUGAGACCCCCC